UGGGGAAUUUUGGACAAUGGGCGCAAGCCUGAUCCAGCCAUGCCGCGUGUCUGAAGAAGGCCUUCGGGUUGUAAAGGACUUUUGUCAGGGAAGAAAAGGGCGGGGUUAAUACCCCUGUCUGAUGACGGUACCUGAAGAAUAAGCACCGGCUAACUACGUGCCAGCAGCCGCGGUAAUACGUAGGGUGCGAGCGUUAAUCGGAAUUACUGGGCGUAAAGCGGGCGCAGACGGUUACUUAAGCAGGAUGUGAAAUCCCCGGGCUCAACCUGGGAACUGCGUUCUGAACUGGGUGACUAGAGUGUGUCAGAGGGAGGUAGAAUUCCACGUGUAGCAGUGAAAUGCGUAGAGAUGUGGAGGAAUACCGAUGGCGAAGGCAGCCUCCUGGGAUAACACUGACGUUCAUGCCCGAAAG
rnacentral:rRNA from 1 species